CACAGCACCAUUUCCUCCUCUCAGCCAGCACCAGAUCAGGUAACUGUUUCAAACCUGUCAAAGGACCAUCAUUUUGUUUGCCUUAUGUUCUGCUGUUGGUCUGAGCAGAAAAUAUUGGACCAACGUCUGGUUCUGCAGUUGGUCAGUAUGUGUGGAAGACGUGCAUUCAGGCUUUCUCUGCUUCUGCUGGUGUGGGGUGUGUGCACAGCCUUAGAAGAGAUUCAAGUGAAAACAGGAGCAGAUUUGGGCACUCCUGCCUGUCCAAACCAAACCAUUCAUAACAUGAUGUAUGUAAUAUGUAAGAUAGAUAGAGUGAUAAGUGGUGGGAGUGAGUGUCAAGUGUCUCUUCGGUUUGGCAAUAAUGGUACAGACAGCACUUGUGACCCCAGAGUCACACUACAGAAAGAGAGUGACAGAGUGUUUCUACACAUCACCAACAUACAACCAUCUGAUGAAGGGAACUACACCUGUGAGUGUGUACAUAAUGGAGUGACACAUUUUUGGCAUCUCAACAUUUCAGUCAAUGAAUCCCAUGUCAUGAUAAUAACAGCCUUUGCAGGAUUUGUAGCCGUCGUGGUCCUUGUUGGAAUAAUCAUGUGGAAAUGUCAUCUCAACAGGAGAACACAGCAGAAAGCGGUGUACACAUUUAAGGAGGAGGAGCAACAGGACAUUGAGCCCUACAACACGUUCACAAGGAGAGACAAUGGGCUUUACUCAACUCUGCAGCUGCCGCAUCCUAACCCCUGACCUCUGGCACCGUUGACCAAUGACGACAUGGCAUUAGACACCUUUUUCUAUCACUAGGGGUUAAAUACUAUUUCACCAGCCCUGGAUAUACAACUGUACAGUAUGUCCAUUUACUGUAUAUCUUGAUUACUGUAAUGCCCCUAUUUUUACAGCUGAUACACUGACUUUAUAUAGUUCCAUUGAUUGGUUACUGACACCUGGCUGAAUAGGUCCUGUACUGUAGAUAGUCUUCUGUUGCUGUAAAUAUCAGCACUUACUGUAUGAAUCAUGCACAUUAUGUUACGUAUAACCAAUGUUCCUGUGGACAGAUGUGAUCAUGUGCAUUUCCACCAGGUGUCAAUGUUUUGCAUUUGUAAAAUAUAUUCCUUGCAGCAGUAUGUACAGUCAUCAUCACAACAUGCUUCAUGACAAUGCAUUUUCCUUGCUUUCAAUGGUCCAUCGCCAUUUAUCAUGUAGGCCUACAUGAAUUACAUGUUCAGGUGAAGAGAUGUAACGACAAAACUAAAGCAUUCAUUAAAACUUCACUUCCAAACAGA